rnacentral:rRNA from 1 species
GAUGAACGCUGGCGGCGUGCUUAAUACAUGCAAGUCGAGCGAACAGACGAGGAGUUUGACUCGCAGACGUGAGCGGCAGGCGGGAGAGAAACACGUGGGUAACCUACCUAAAAGAGUGGGAUAACUUCGGGAAAGGGGAGAUAAUACCGGAGAAUAACUUGAAGGGUAUGGUUCUGUAGUGAAAGACGGGUUUGGGGUGAGUUAUCGAUGUAUCCGCGCCGCAUUAGCUAGUUGGUAGGGUAACGGCUUAACAAGGCGACGAUGGGUAGCCGAGCGGAGAGGGUGAUCGGCCGCACGAGAGCUGAGACGCCGUCCAGACGCCUACGAGAGGCAGCAGUAGCGUAUCUUACGCAAUGGGCGAGAACCUGACGGAGCGACGCCGCGUGAGUGGUCGAGACCUUCGGUGCGUAAUACACUGUUUUGAGUGAUGAACAACUGUGUAAGUAAAUGUGCAGUUCUUGACGGUACCUGAUCAGAAAGCCACGGCUAACUACGUG